rnacentral:RNase_P_RNA from 1 species
GUGGAGGGAAGCUCAGUGCUGAGUCUACAGACAGAGUGUAGGGGUCACUCUAUGUGCCUCAGGGAAGGUCUGAGACUGGAGCUCUUAGUUGCCCCUGCAGGGCAUUCCUUGGAUGAAAGGGUGGGUCCCCAGAGAACUUGGCUCUGAUUGCCCAGUGAGGUGCAAAAGAUGCAGCAAGUACCCAAUGUUGUGCUUCUGCAGAUGCAAAGGCAUCAGGCUUGGCACUGCCCCACAGCUGGCACAUUCAAGCUCAAUGGCUGAGAGGGAACUGCCUGUGGUUUCCAACCCAAUUCAGACUACUCUCCCUCCAC